CACUGCAGCCCUGGGAAGUUGAAAUAAACAUUGAGGCGGUUUCUGCUAGCAAUUUCAGCUAACUUUACUCAAGGAGCAAAAAGGAAAAUAAAGGAGGGGGGGGCACUGCAGAAUUUGAGUUGGCCAGCAGCACCUGAGAGCUGGCCUCUGCAGCAGGUAAUGGACCACUGCGGAGAGGGCUGCAUUUUCUAGAAGUGCUGAAAGUUCCUUCCUGCUGUGUGGCCCCUGGGAGCAGGAACAGAUACCUCAAUAUAGACUGCCCACAGAUAAGAAAGCCAGCUCGGAGACGUUUUUAAAAGGGCUGAAACACCUCCACUAAAGUGUUCCAGGAGUGCGACUCAGGAAGAUGAACACACAAAGCCUUCUUCUGCAUUAUGUGAAGAUUCAGUGGCAACUAGAUCAUGUCUAUUAGGAUUGACUGAGGAGAGGGCCUUAUGCACAAUCCCUAGAAAAGAUUCCGUAUUUCAGAAGAUUUGUUUCCGGGCUCUGACGUCAGAGACAAAACUGGACAACAUUCAUUCAACAAAUAUGUAUUGAGUGGCUCCUAUGCGGCCAGGCACUGUUCUGAGAUUGUGGGGUGUACCAACACAAAGAAAGAGCCCUGCCCUGGAAGAGCUGACAGUUACAGGAUGCUGUAUUCCAUGUCCUCUGUCCUCUCCCUACCUCUGCUGUGGGCUGGAAAAUAUUUCCAGGAAAAGCCAGUCAACACGGAGAAAAGCCGAUCAACACUAGGCCAAUUCCUAGCCAGGAGCUGAAAGUUAAGCAUCAAGGUUGAAGAUGGCAGAAAGGGUCGGUUCUCCCCUGCGCGUCCCCGCAGCCUGUGAGAUGAGCCCUGCAGCCCCUUAAAGUGCCUUCCUGUUCCUUGACAUACUGAGGGAAUAGAAUUUGGAAGGGCAGUGCAACCAAAUAAUGUUUUUGUAAACACAACAAGGAGAACAGGGAAAUAAUGGAGAAAAGGCCUCAUCGGGUGUGCCUUGUUUGAUUAGGGUUUGGGGUAGAGGUUCAGGCCUCUAUUGCAUCCCAGGGAAAAGCUCUUCCUAAAUAUGGACACUUUUGGAGGAACUGAACUAGAACACUCCAUGGAAAACUGUAUGAUUUGAGUCUUGAGGUUCCAGACUGCAACUGCUCUUGGAACCUCCCGACUGGGCCUGGGAGGUAGACCAACUCCAGCGCCCUCACUCUGCACAACUCACCCAGGGCCGGCAAGACCCGCAAUGACUGCAACAGGGCUGGAAGCCAGAAGCAAACUUUCUGGAAGUACUGGCUAUGGGGAAGCAGGACACGAAGGAUGAUGUUUAUACUUUCUCACAGUAUAUUUGGCCGCCGCUUAGGCUACUGUUAUCCAACAUGGUAGCACCAGCCACGUGUAACUACUGAGCACUUCAAAUCUGGCCAGUCCAAAUGGAGAUGUGCUGUGAG